CUUAUUCUCUUUCUCCUGUGCUGGAUGCUUCCUGCCCUGGAACAUGAGACUCCAAGUUCUUCAGCUUUUGGAUCCUUGGACUUACACCAGUAAUUUGCCAGGGACUCUCGGGUCACAGACUGAGGGUUGCACUAUGAGCUUCCCUACUUUUGAGGUUUGGGGAUUCAGACUGGCUUCCUGACUCCUCAGCUUGCAGAUGGCCUAUUGUGGAGUUUCACCUUGUGAUCGCGUGCUCAAGAGUUCAACACAUCCAUGUCCUAUGACCAACUUACUCAGUUUCUCAUUAUGUUGCAGUUGGAUUUGAGAAACCAGGAUGAACCAGGUAUUCUACAGCCGAUUGCUUGGAAUCUCCUAUUAGAAGACUCUCAAGCACCUCAAAAUUACUAUGUCUGAAACAGAACUCUUUAAUUUUUGUGCCCUCUCGCCUUUCUCUUUCCUUGUCAUUGACAUCUAACUAUGGCACCCCUCAUUCAUCUACAAAGUUUUUCAAAGCAGAAAUCUAAGAGUCACCUUUGAUUUUUGUCUUUCCUUCAUGUUCCUCCAAAUUUACCCACUUCAAGUUUUAUCGAUUAUCCAUUUAACUUACGUCUUCCUUAGAUCACCUUUUCUUCAGCUCUGCAGCCAUUACACAAGUCCAGACCAUAAUUGUCUCUUGCCUGGGCUAUUGUAAUAACCUUCGAACUGGCCUCUUGCUUUUGCUCUUGCCCUCAUCCAAUUCCUUUUUCCUGUAUCAGUCAACAUGAUCUUUUUUAAAAGCAUAAAUAAGAAUGUGUUCCCUACUGAAAUCCUUUCAGUGAUAACCCCUUACAUUUACAAAACCAUCCAAGUUCAUUCCCACACUUCCAGGAACUCACAGGCUCUGCUGGCUGCCUAUCUCUUUUGUCUCUUUAACUUCAUUCCACCUUUCUCUCCCUUUCACUGACAACACUCGAGUCACAAUAGAUUUUUUCAGUUCCUCUGACAUAGCAAGUUUUUUCGCAUCUCGGAGCUUGUAAACACACUAGAACAUCUUGCUACUCAUCUUUUAAAACACUAGCACCAACUCACCCUUAAAGUCUCAACACAACAGUCACCUCUUCAGAGGGGCUUCCUCGAGCAUUGUUUCUAAGGAGAAUCUCCCUGUUAACCUCCCUUUGUGGCUCCCUGUUGUUUUCCCUCAUGACAUUUAAGUUGUAAUGUAUAUUUCCUCUUGUUUUUCUAUGUCACUGUUGGACUCAUCCACAAGACUGAAUGGUGGGAAGAAAAAGACCAUACCUAAUUGGUUCUUUACCACAUACCAGCACUCAGCACUGAGCCUGGAAUGGAGAAGGACAUCCAUAAUUCAUUCAUAAAAACCCUGUUUACAAACAAAUUUACAAAUCUUAGGAGUAUGUAAAGCAGAGAACACGGGUAGAUAUUUUUCUCUAAUUUUUUAAUGGUAAAAGGAGAAAAAUCUUCAACUAAUUUUAUGGUCAUAGUAAUUCUUUGACAUAGAAGAAGGGCUGUAAGAUGUUUAGCUUCAUUUCUGGCCUUUAUCCACCAGAUGCUAGUAACAUCACCUCCCCUUGUUUGUGACAACCAGAAAUGUCACCAGACAUUGCCAGAUGUCUACAGGAAAGGGGUGGGGGUUGGGGGAGAACCAGUUGGAAACCAUUUACCUACAGAGUAAACCUUUUUUUUUUUUUUUUUGAGACGGAG